rnacentral:rRNA from 1 species
GGUAACCUGCCCAUCAGAAGGGGAUAACACUUGGAAACAGGUGCUAAUACCGUAUAACACUAUUUUCCGCAUGGAAGAAAGUUGAAAGGCGCUUUUGCGUCACUGAUGGAUGGACCCGCGGUGCAUUAGCUAGUUGGUGAGGUAACGGCUCACCAAGGCCACGAUGCAUAGCCGACCUGAGAGGGUGAUCGGCCACACUGGGACUGAGACACGGCCCAGACUCCUACGGGAGGCAGCAGUAGGGAAUCUUCGGCAAUGGACGAAAGUCUGACCGAGCAACGCCGCGUGAGUGAAGAAGGUUUUC